rnacentral:lncRNA from 1 species
UAAAAUUCGGAUUUGUUGCUGGUUCACAUUUAGGUGAGGGAGGAGUUGACUAGCUAGCUAGCUCGUGUCAAACAUUGGAAAAAUAAAGACAUGUCAGCUGAAAAGGUCGUCAAAAAAACUGAGAGCAGGUACUUUUAACGUUACACCCCAGUUGACGGCGUUCCAGUAAACAAGUCGGAAAACCAACUGUUAGCUGUUGUUAGCCGUUGUUAACAAUUGUCAGCUGUCGUUAGCCGUUUUCGGCGGUUGUUGGUCGUUGGGCAGUACAACAUUUACCACUUAUAUAAUUUCGCUAAAACAAAACAGAAGUGUGAAUAAAUAAUACGUUACGAAAGCCGUAAUUGUUACUAUACUGUUUUUGUUACUGUCGUCAAAUCGAGGUUGGUGGGGAUCAUCUGACUUUCUGAGUCAGAAAUCCGACUUCAGGGGGGUGUUCCAGAUGGAUUUUCGAUUUAGAGCUCAGAAAUCCCGAGUACAACUGGAACGCACCCUUUGUCUUUAAGUUGUGGCCCCGCCCCCUUUUUUAGUCAAAGCAGGCCUUCUUUAAAAACUAAAACAAGAGCUUGAAAUAAACGAGCUAAACCGUGUUAUUUGAUUGGCUGAUGAGAGCCCAAAUAUAUAGACAUUAUAUACAAAGACACCUCAUAGAUUGACGCUGCCUAUUGGAGCUUAUGUAUCAGCGCGGCUGCCAUCUUGGAUGGGUCCCCCAAACGCCCUAAGCCAAUUAUUUCUACUGGAGAAGAUAGGCAUGCACAACUUGUUUUAUCGUAACUCCUGAACUCCCUGAAAGCGCAGAGUUGUAGUUAUCAUAGAGGACACUGUUCCACAUUAAAAAUAAAACAAAUAUUUUUUCUAUCGUACUCGUGUCGGGUUAUCCUACGUGAUCCGGUUUCAAUACUGCGCUGGUUUUUGCGACGGUAGGGUGCACGAAAAACCAGCGCUUACUCUCCAUUGGCUCUGGCGCGAGCCUAGCAUGUAAAGACCUAUCCAAUAUGGCGGUGACGCUGGAUUACACUCCAGGAUGGAAUGAGACUUCUAUGUAUAUUAUGUCUAUGGCUCAAAUGUAACAGCUCCACGUUCAACAGAAGAAAGUUUUACCAGAUGUUUGUUAAAUUUUGACGAUGUAGAGUUACUUUAAAUGAGUUUUUUGUCUCAAUAAAAGAGACUGAAAAUACAUAGAAGUUGUACUGCUCCCUUUGUCCACAGGGGGCAGUAAAAUUGACACAAAUUAAAAGUUCCUUACUAGAGCUUUAAACAAAUCAAAAGUUAAAUUUUAAGAGGCUCAGAAACAGCCCCAGUAAUGUGGUAUUUAUUAAAAAGUACUCCAGAGUGUUUACUACUGAACCGAUUUUCAGGCUCCUACAUUAUUCACAAAAGUCUCCUUAUUAUGAAACUGUCUUAUUAUUCAUCCCUGCGGAGUCACGGGGUGAAUUAUCUCUCAUAUCUGCGGUAGAAAAAGGUCACUAACUCCUCAUCCUGGACUGUAACACCUCCUAACUUUGCUGUGAUUGAUAAGGCGAGUUUGUGAAGAGGAACCAGGUGACAGACGAGGACGAUCGAUCGAGGGCCAAACACCUGAAGAGAUUGGGACUGCGUCUGAGAGCAUGUCCGCGUAUCGAUUUUCCUCUGAACUCGCUAUUACACGCAUCAUAUCUCAUUCAUUUCUGUCAGCAGUUCCCAUGGCAACUUCUUCUGUGUUCUCCCAGGAUGCUCUUGAACCCAUCGCCGAGCCUGUUUGCGUGGGCGUGCGAGCAUGUGUGUAUUUAAAGUAUCUUACACAGCCAGGCGGGGGGUCGCAUUAAUGACUUGUAUCUGUGGAAACACCAGCGGCGCUCUCAUCAAUAAGCACCAAUUACAAAGCCAGUUUCGGCUGCCUGUUAUAGUAUUGUGUGUGUGUGUGUGUGUUGUGUGUAUUGUUUGUGUGCGUUCGGGGGUGUUGGGCUGAUUAAGAGACAAACAGAGUACAGAGGAGCUGAGAUGGAUGAUAAUGAGGUCAGAUCUUCUCGUCCAAGAUGUAGAAGUGACCGAAUUCAUCAGGCCCCUGGCAGCUAUCCGUCCUCUCUGCUGUUCAUUAUCGGUGACGGGUUCGAUCGCCGGGUCCAAGAACAAACAGACGGAACAACUUGUUGCUAACUUUUUUGUUGUUUCUUCUUGUUUAUCAAUCUUGGGAUCCAUCGGCUCUGGGGGUGACAGUCAGAACGUUUACAUGACACUCGAGAAAACAGACGCUCCUGCUCGCUCGUAUCGUUCCAAUUAAAUUCCGAUAUAAUGCAGAUAAAUCCUUCAGAUCAUUACAAAUGGGGCCCAGUCAAGGUGAAAGUCAAAAGCAUUGGUGCUACUGUAGAUGCCAACAGACUACCAGCAAACACAAUGUUUGCAGGACUUCUACAACGAGGAUAAAGUGACAUAGUCCAGGACCCGAGGGAGGACAGUUUAGCGAUGGCGCUACAACACGCUACAGCAGGUCCGUUUGACAAGAAACACUUCUGUUACAGACACUUGUCUUACUUUGUUAAAGCGGUUUACCUGUCCAGCAGAAAGGUUACAGGGUCACCAAGAUCCCCAAGCGUCCCCCAUGGUUUAUGUUGACCCGGCUUUUUAGCUCUUGUCCGGUCUACCUCCGUUUUAAGUGCCCGUUAUUCCUCCAGAGUCUCCGGUAUUUACUUUGUUUUCUUGAAGUUCUUGAAAACUUCGCUGGAGGUUUGCAAAUAAUGGACUUUCUUUUCAGUGUUUGCAGCCCAGUUAGAGGUUUAUUCAACUUUUCGGAUUUGUCUGUGAAAUAAACAUUAACUUAUCUGUCUUUGUUGAGUCCCAGUUUUACUGUAAAUAUUAAAUUACACAGAGGCUUCAACUUAAAUGUUCUAAACCAGCAAAAGAAACUUAUUCCCUCGUGAUUUUUCAUCAUCUAAGUUCUAGAACAACUCGUAAUUUCUUGGUAUUUGACAGGUUGACAUUUAAAUGUUUGUCA